rnacentral:rRNA from 1 species
CAGUCGCCACGGUAAUACGAAGGGGGCUAGCGUUGUUCGGAAUCACUGGGCGUAAAGAGCACGUAGGCGGAUCUUUAAGUCAGAGGUGAAAUCCCGAGGCUCAACCUCGGAACUGCCUUUGAUACUGGGGAUCUCGAGUCCGGGAGAGGUGAGUGGAACUGCGAGUGUAGGGGUGAAAUUCGUAGAUAUUCGCAAGAACACCAGUGGCGAAGGCGGCUCACUGGCCCGGAACUGACGCUGAGGAGCGAAAGCGUGGGGAGCGAACGGGAUUAGAGACCCCAGUAGUCCCUGUCUCUUAUAC